rnacentral:rRNA from 1 species
AUGUGUGAUUAAUUAGACAUGACGUNNGGCUAGAUCACCCGCUGAA